rnacentral:rRNA from 1 species
AUUGAACGCUGGCGGCAGGCUUAACACAUGCAAGUCGAGCGAGCGGCGGACGGGUGAGUAAUGUCUGGGAAACUGCCUGAUGGAGGGGGAUAACUACUGGAAACGGUAGCUAAUACACCAUACAAUCCGAUGUGCCCAGACGGGAUUAGCUAGUAGGUGGGGUAAUGGCUGACCUAGGCGACGACACCUAGCUGGUCUGAGAGGAUGACCAGCAACACGGGAACUGGGACACGGUCCAGACUCCUACGGGAGGCAGCAGUGGGGAAUAUUGCACAAUGGGCGCAAGCCUGAUGCAGCCAUGCCGCGUGUGUGAAGAAGGCCUUCGGGUUUUAAAGCACUUUCAGCGAGGAGGCGUUACUCGCAGAAGAAGCACCGGCUAACUCCGUGCCAGCCGCCGCGGUAAUAC